rnacentral:rRNA from 1 species
UACGGAGGGUGCGAGCGUUGUCCGGAAUCACUGGGCGUAAAGGGCGCGUAGGCGGCCCGAGAAGCGUGGGGUGAAAGUCCGGGGCUCAACCCCGGAUCGGCCUUGCGAACUCUCGGGCUGGAGCACUGUAGGGGCGGGUGGAAUUCCGGGUGUAGCGGUGGAAUGCGUAGAGAUCCGGAAGAACACCGGUGGCGAAGGCGGCCCCGCUGGGCAGUGGCUGACGCUGAGGCGCGACAGCGUGGGGAGCAAACAGG